CUCUUUUUUCUUUUUUCUUUUUAGGGGGUUUUCUGUAAAUUUGUAUAAUAGUAGAAGUUGUUGUUCCCCGACCUGUUGUUCCUUAUAUAUAUGGAGAGGCUGGAGGCUGUUUAAAAUAGAUCCGUCAGGUCUGUUCUAAGACUUGUGAUGAUUGUGAUUGGCUAAGCACUUGUUUCCUUGAUGCCUUGAUACUGACCAAUCAAGGCAAUUUCAUAUUCUUAGUGCAAAAAUUAAACUAGAUCUUGGAAGGAUUGCGAAAUGAGUGUUGAUGAAGGCCUUUGACGAUGAAGAAAAUCCUUAUCUUCCAAAGGAUGGUUCGACAUGGAGAACGAAUGACUUCACUGAUAUUGAUUCAUAUCCGAUAGCUUCUUCAUCUGAAAUGCGAUUUUGGGAACGGCGUCUUCAUAUGCAUUGCCCUUUGUUUUAGUUGAUGUCAUUAUUGUUUGGAUUGCUAGUCUAAUAACCCAAUUUACUCCGAAGGAAAAGCAUACUUGUGCACUGCGCCAACCAUCAUCAUGAUCAUCAUCGCCUUCUUCCAGAAAUUUGGGGUCGGCCAAUAAAUGGGUUCAAUAGAGAUCAACCUUCAUCUUUUACUCAGGCUCAUCCGCCCAACUAAUACAGAGGACCCCAAAGUUCUGGCAACUAAAGGAACAGUGCACACAUACAAAACACAUGAAGUUCCCCCAUAUGUGAUUCCAAUUUAUUUGAUUAAUUUAGAAUUAUCAUGCAGUACACACAGAUGCCCAAGGGGUACUGUGUGUGGAUGACAGCAAGGCAACUAAUGUGGAGGCAGCAUAUGUUGGACUGAUGGGUCUUGAAGUAAAAAAAAAAAAGUCUAUGGUUCUUCUAGGUGGUGUUGCAAAAGUAUACAUCCAGUUUGGUGUUUGUAGUCUUGUAGGACUUGAACAAAAAGUUGGUGAAGGAUAUCCCAUGUUUUGUUGUUUCUCUAGGAUUUGAACAUGCAAGAUUCCAGUGGUUUCGAAAAGCUGGUAGAACCAUUGAAGUACCACAUGUGUUGUUACUGUAAGCAUCCUCCUCUUGCUUCCAAAGGCUGUAUAUAUAACCAUUUUAAGUUGCAUGUUUGUUUCUUUUUCCUAAAACCGUGUUCCAUCUCUGCAUUUGGUGUUUAUGCUUUCAUCAUUCAUGAAUCUUUCUCAAAAUAGCUUACAGACUAAUAAAAUCUUUGGAUGAAUGUCCUAGUUUGGAUCUUCAGGAAAAAUGAUUCAGAAGACGUAUGAUUGUGGUCUUAUGUGCUGCCAGCCUCACACAAUACAGUGUGGCCCCUGGCCAUGGGGCCACCUUGAUGCAUGCUAGUAUAUUCAUGCUGUUUUUUGGUAGCUCAUUUUAAGACAUGAGCCCAAAAAUAAAGAAGAUAAAAAAUUUAGGUGAACCACCACCAUAGGAAAUAGUGGGUGAUGGAAUGCCUACUAUUAAAAUUAAUGUUUGUCUUUAAAAUUCACAUUGUAUUGUCUUUUUUUUUUUCUUUCUUUUUCUGCAGCAAGUGAACAUGUUUGUUUUAACUCUACAGCUUCUUGAUUCUAGAAUUCCCAUUCUCAGGCCUAACUGCAUGCUGGUAAUGGAUUUGUCUGUGGCCUGCUGUUUGAUUCAAAACUACCCUACUGUUGGGGCAAUAGCAUAUACAUCCAAAUGGGUGUCCCUCAUCCAAUGGCUGAAGAAGCUUCCUACUCAAAAAUCAGUGUUGGGGACCACCAUAUCUGCGAAUUGAGAUUGCUCGCGAAAGGGACGUAUGCAAACAUCUCCAUGGUUGGGCUUAGAGAAGACCAGACAUGAGUACAAUCAAGAGAGUUUUUGCACCAACUUGGUAUGUGGCUAAUAUUGCACUCAAUUGCAUGUGUGGCUGUCAAUGGAUACCUGAUGAAUCCAACCCAAUGUUAAUACAUCUGGGUCUCAUUUAUGGGACCCAUUAAGCAAUUGGGACUGGUUCAGGUCUCAACUUUAGGACCUGAUUAAAAAUCAGGUCUAGGUACUGUCCAGUUUGGGUCUAGGUGGUUUUAAUAGUAAAUUAUAUAUAUAUUGUAUGCAUUUAUUAUUCUAAUAAAAGAAAUUUCACUUCUAGCACUUUAUUUUUUUGGUUGAAUGUCAUAUCAUCUCUUUCAUUAGAUUGGUUUUGGUCUAAUCUUUCAAUCAUUCUCUAACUGUUAAAAGGAAAUAAAUUUCCAUCUGGAGUUGGUUAUGAGUGUAGUUUUCUAUGUAACUGUUAAAAGGAAUUCAAUUUCCCCCUCUUUUGGUGACUCAAACAGAAGAAGCCAUCUCAUAAUUGAGGUUUUGCUAUAACCUGUGUUGUUUUCUAAGUGCACAUGUUUUCAUUAGUAUAUUUAUAUUUUUACCAAUCUGUAUUUUCUUUCAAGCUUUGAUUUCUCGGUAUCUUAUGUAGGUUGCUUCAAAUCAUUAUGGUUAUUCUGUUAUUGUAUUUGGUGAACUCAUGGAAUUCCAUGGAACUGAUUGAAUGGAAGGAGCUUCUGUUGUUCAUACAAGUCAUGUUUCUGAUUUUUUUGGAUGAAUUGGGUGUGUGAAAUUGCAUGGAACUGAUCAAAUGAACAUGGAAUUUCUAUUGGGAAGAAACACUGACUCCUCGGAAGGCCGUAGACAGUACGGUCAUUGGAUUCUCCACAAGUUGUAAGAGUUCCUGUCAUACCUUUUAGUAAAUUUGUUUGUU